rnacentral:rRNA from 1 species
GGGGAAUAUUGGACAAUGGGGGAAACCCUGAUCCAGCAAUGCCGCGUGAAUGAAGAAGGCCUUAGGGUUGUAAAGUUCUUUCACCUGUGAAGAUAAUGACGGUAGCAGGAGAAGAAGCCCCGGCUAACUCCGUGCCAGCAGCCGCGGUAAGACGGAGGGGGCUAGCGUUGUUCGGAAUGACUGGGCGUAAAGGGCGCGUAGGCGGUUUUUUAAGUGAGGCGUGAAAGCCCUGGGCUUAACCCAGGAGGUGCGUUUCAGACUGGAAGACUUGAGUGCGAGAGAGGAAAGUGGAAUUUCUAGUGUAGAGGUGAAAUUCGUAGAUAUUAGAAAGAACACCCGUGGCGAAGGCGGCUUUCUGGCUCGCAACUGACGCUGAGGCGCGAAAGCGUGGGGAGCAAAC